CCUACGGGAGGCUGCAGUGGGGAAUAUUGCACAAUGGGCGAAAGCCUGAUGCAGCGACGCCGCGUGAGUGAAGAAGUAUUUCGGUAUGUAAAGCUCUAUCAGCAGGGACGAUAAUGACGGUACCUGACUAAGAAGCCCCGGCUAACUACGUGCCAGCAGCCGCGGUAAUACGUAGGGGGCAAGCGUUAUCCGGAUUUACUGGGUGUAAAGGGAGCGUAGGUGGCAAAGCAAGUCAGAUGUGAAAGCCCGUGGCUUAACCGCGGGAUUGCAUCAGAAACUGCUUAGCUAGAGUACAGGAGAGGUAAGCGGAAUUCCUAGUGUAGCGGUGAAAUGCGUAGAUAUUAGGAGGAACAUCAGUGGCGAAGGCGGCUUACUGGACUGUAACUGACACUGAGGCUCGAAAGCGUGGGGAGCAAACAGGAUUAGAUACCCCUGUAGUC
rnacentral:rRNA from 1 species